rnacentral:misc_RNA from 1 species
CCUUGGCUCAUGCCUGGUACCGAUGGACCAAUGCUAACAGCUCCUUGAAGGUUACCCAUGGGUUGUGAAAUUCCAAGAUUUGAGUUCCCAGAUAUGUUAGAAGUUGCAGAAGUGAAUGAACCAAGACCAGAGUUUGAUGCAAUUUGAGUUGUUCCUGAUCCUGUUAUUGAACUAAUACCAGGUUGUCCAGAUGAAAAAACAUUUUGAGCAGGAGGCACAGAAGAAGCCAUGCCACUGGAUAUCAUAUUUGACAUAUGCAUGGCAACAGGAGUCUGAUUCAUUGAUUGAAGGCCGAUCGUAGUUCCUCCAGUUAAAGCAGCAGAGUUCAUCACUUGGCGUGCUUGAGAGAGAUUAUUCAGUAUGCUAACAUUCGCUGCACCAGGAGGCACAGGACGUACAGACUGUGGCAUCCCACUGACACUCGGUUUUAAGUCUGGCACAUUUUCACCACUUGCAAUCAUUUCUUGAGUACUUGUAGGCGGUGAAGAUGUCUGCAAACUU